GCUUCGGUAGUGUAAUGGAUCAACACGACAGAUCGGAUAUCUGUAAGUGCGAGUUCGAUUCCUACCUGAGGUU
rnacentral:tRNA from 1 species